GCAGGAGGCCAGGCAGUAACAUUGCCUGGCUGUAGGGCUGAUGUGAAUGACUUGGAGAGUCGUGAGCCAGACUACACUUCCUAUGAGACAUCCUGCAUUCCCUGCUUGCUCAACUGCUGUGAUACCUCACAAGAGUCCCUGGCCCUGGCUCACCUUCAUGUUCAGCCCCCAGAGGAAGAGAACAAAGGUGCAAGACAUCCAAACUACAGUUCCUGGGAGACAUCAUUCAUUGGAAUCAGCCUGAAUUCCCAAAAUGUUUUGGAUGACCUGAUUCUCCAUAUUUCAUUAAAAAAAGUUCCAGACCAAAAAUUCUGGAUGCUUCUAUUUAUGUGACAGAUA